UGUUGAAAAGAGUUUGCGUAAGCCAUUAAAAAAGUGGAUUGAAAUAAAUUUAAAUUUGAUUUCAGAUUUUAGAGUAUACAAAAUGUUAAAGUCAAAACUCUUCGUUUUAUUUAUUAUAAUAUCUUUAGUCAGAUAUGGAGCUUUUAUUGUUCCAGGAGGGGUAGGCCGAUGGCGUGAUAAUCAACGUUGCCAGCAAGAAGUUGUUAAAAAGUGUUCAACAUUUUGUGUAUUGAAAAAAUGUCAUGAUAUAUGCAAAUAUGAAAAUAACGUAGUAUGCAAAAUAUUAAAGAAGCUAAAGGUAUUAUUAGCGCUGUCGAAAUUGAAUGCAAAACAGUCGAAAUCAAAUGCAACGGUGUCGAAAUUGAAUGAAACAUUGUCGAAAUGAACUGAUACAAUGUCGAAAUUGAAUGAUACAUGAUCGAAAUAAAGUGGGAAACCCUGUAAUGUA